UGACGUGCUUACAAACUCUUCUUAUAGCCCCUUUGACUGCAACAUGAAUGGUUUAACAACCACAGCAGAGAACGGCAGCUCCAGUGACAAUAUUUCACUUUCAACAAAUGGAAAUGACGAAUAUUUCACAUAAAAUGAACAAUCCCAAACUCACAUAGACACAAAUAUAUCGCAUGUCAUCUUUAUGCCACCCAUAUUCCUAUUAUAUUGAAAAA